rnacentral:tmRNA from 1 species
UCACUUUAAAUUCAUCGGCUUUGCCCUAUAUGGGAUCUGCCGGUUUCGGCCGGCUAUGGCGAUAAAUUGUGCUGUGUAAUAGGUACAACGGACCCGGGGGCAGUACCCGGCGGCUCCACCAAAAUCCGCGGAAUUCCGCGGUUUCUGACGGGGCCGAACUAGGAUCGACGUGUGCUGAAAGACAGUGUUUUCGCCCGGGCUGAGUAACCCGUAAAACUGUUCACAACACACAAGUGCCAACGAUAACGAAGCAC